rnacentral:lncRNA from 1 species
AUCCUGGUCUCCCUCCUCUUCUUUUUUUUUUUUAAUUUUGGAGGCAAUGGGGGUUAACUGACUUGCCCAGGGUCACAUAGCUAGCAAGUGUCUGAGGCUAGAUUUGAAUUCAGGUCCUCCUGACUCCAGGGCCAGUGCUCUAUCUACUGCGCCACCUAGCUGGCCUUCUCCUCUUGUUUCUUUAACCAGCUCUGCCUUUGAUAAGCCAUAACAUGUCCUCCAUGUCUUCAUUCCUCUCUCUAGUGAAUGUAAUUCCUGCUCUCAUUUCCCUCCUUGGAUAGAAGAUGAGUGAAAACUGUACAAUGUUGAAUACCUCCAGCUGAGACCCAUGGAGAGAGGGCUGUUGCACAAGAGGCUCAGUACACAGACAACGACCAAAUGCAGUGAAAGGAGAAGAAGGCUAGUGAGAAGAGCAGUCUAAAGCAAACUUUCAUGAAGGGAGUUAGGUGGUGGCACACUGGGAGAUCUCUCUCCCACUCCCGCCUCAGGAGGGAAAGAAUCACAUUAGAGGCAAGAUCGGAAACAUCUACCCUGGCAGAUGGCAGGGGGCAACUGCAGUGAGUGACCUGACCAGGAACUACCUGAAGGAGAUACAGGUAGAGGUCUGCUCUGGGACCCAGGGGAAGGGAAGAAAGUCAAAAUGGGCUCAAUCGCCUUGCACAGUAAGAGAAGCACCCAAGCAAACCUAAUCCCCGCAAAAGGUAUUGGAAACAAAUAACUCAUAUUUCUGUAGCACUUUAAAGUAUCACCAAUGAGUGACACACUCUUUCCUCAGAAGAAAAGAUAUCGUCUGAGAUCUAGGGACUCAGAUUCAAGGUGGGACAGAGAUGGGACAAAAUCACUAUCAGGUCAAGGAUUUCUGACCUCCUUGAAGACGGGUUCAGUCCCAGGCCUUUUCUUAUUUUGGUGGAUAUGUUGCUGGGCCCUUGCCAAACCCUUCUUGUCAAAUGAAAAUACUGAGAGAGGAGAUUGUCUCUGCAAUUCUUUUUUAUUUGCCUAUUUGCCUUAUGUCAGAGGUUCCCAAACUUAUUUGGCCUAUUGCCCCCUUUAAAAAAAAUUACUCAAUGCCUCCCCUAGAAAUCUACUUUAAAAAAAAAGCCAACUGGGGUUAAGUGACUUGCCCAGGGUCACACAGCUAAUAAGUGUCAAGUGUUUGGUCUGGGGCCGGAUUUGAACUCAGGUCCUCUUGACUUCAGGGCCAGUGCUCUAUCCACUCACUGUGCCACCUAACUGCCCCAAGAAAUCUACUUUCUUUAACAGUGUUUUUAAAAUUUGCAUCAUUUCAAAAAAAGUAUAAAUUUUUUUUUUAAAAAAUGAUGCAUCUUAAAUCUAAUAAUUUACUGUAAAUUUGUGGGUUUUUUUUUCCUGCAUUGAAAUUUUGAUGACACAAUAUCUACUGCGCCAUCUAUCUGUGAAUAUUUUUUACAUGACACCUAAUCUGUUUCCACCAAGGAGAAAGAGGACUACUAGUGUUAAUGGUAGAAGGAAAUAGUGAGAACAGAGCAAGACUAGGGGACUUUGUUGUCCUUCUAACAUUAGUUGGAAUUACCUUUACUUCCCAGAGAGGGAAUAUUAUAGGAAGAAGGGAUAGAAAACCAAUGAGUGAUACUCUCUUUCCUCAGAAGAAAAGAUAGUGUCUGAGCUCUAGGGAUUCAGAUUCAGGGUAACCCAGAUGGGAUCAGCU